GAGCGAACGCUGGCGGCAGGCCUAACACAUGCAAGUCGAACGAACCUUUCGGGGUUAGUGGCGGACGGGUGAGUAACACGUGGGAACGUGCCUUUAGGUUCGGAAUAACUCAGGGAAACUUGUGCUAAUACCGAAUGUGCCCUUCGGGGGAAAGAUUUAUCGCCUUUAGAGCGGCCCGCGUCUGAUUAGCUAGUUGGUUGAGGUAAUGGCUCACCAAGGCGACGAUCAGUAGCUGGUCUGAGAGGAUGAUCAGCCACAUUGGGACUGAGACACGGCCCAAACUCCUACGGGAGGCAGCAGUGGGGAAUCUUGCGCAAUGGGCGAAAGCCUGACGCAGCCAUGCCGCGUGAAUGAUGAAGGCCUUAGGAUUGUAAAAUUCUUUCACCGGGGACGAUAAUGACGGUACCCGGAGAAGAAGCCCCGGCUAACUUCGUG
rnacentral:rRNA from 1 species